rnacentral:rRNA from 1 species
UACGAAGGGGGCUAGCGUUGCUCGGAAUCACUGGGCGUAAAGGGUGCGUAGGCGGGUCUUUAAGUCAGGGGUGAAAUCCUGGAGCUCAACUCCAGAACUGCCUUUGAUACUGAAGAUCUUGAGGUCGGGAGAGGUGAGUGGAACUGCGAGUGUAGAGGUGAAGUUCGUAGAUAUUCGCAAGAACACCAGUGGCGAAGGCGGCUCACUGGCCCGAUACUGACGCUGAGGCACGAAAGCGUGGGGAGCAAACAGG